GAUGAACGCUGGCGGCGUGCCUAAUACAUGCAAGUCGAGCGAACAGACGAGGAGCUUGCUCCUCUGACGUUAGCGGCGGAGGGGUGAGUAACACGUGGAUAACCUACCUCUAAGACUGGGAUAACUCAGGGAAACAGGAGCUAAUACCGGAUAAUAUAUUGAAUCGCAUGGUUCAAUAGUGAAAGACGCUUUUGCUGCCACUUAUAGAUGGAUCCGCGGCGCAUUAGCUAGUUGGUAAGGUAACGGCUUACCAAGGCGACGAUGCGUAGCCGACCUGAGAGGGUGAUCGGCCACACUGGAACUGAGACACGGUCCAGACUCCUACGGGAGGCAGCAGUAGGGAAUCUUCCGCAAUGGGCGAAAGCCUGACGGAGCAACGCCGCGUGAGUGAGGAAGGUCUUCGGGUCGUAAAGCUCUGUUAUUAGGGAAGAACGAGUAUGUAAGUAACUGUGCUCGUCUUGACGGUACCUGAGAAGAAAGCCACGGCUAACUACGUG
rnacentral:rRNA from 1 species